NNNNNNNNNNNNNNNNNNNNNNNNNNNNNNNNNNNNNNNNNNNNNNNNNNNNNNNNNNNNAGAGGAGAGGAGAAGAGAGGAGAGGACAGAGAGAGAGGAGAGAGAGGAGAGGAGAAGAGGACAGAGAGAAGAGGAGAGAGUGGAGAGAGAGGAGAGGAGAAGAGAAGAGGAGAGGAGAGAGGAGAAGAGAGGAGAGGACAGAGAGAGAGGAGAGGAGAAGAGGAGAGGACAGAGAGAAGAGGAGAGAGUGGAGAGAGGAGAGGAGAAGAGAAGAGGAGAGGAGAGAGGAGAAGAGAGGAGAGGAGAGGAGAAGAGAGGAGAGGACAGAGAGAGGAGAGAGAGGAGAGGAGAAGAGGAGAGGAGAAGAGAGGAGAGGACAGAGAGAGAGGAGAGGAGAAGAGGAGAGGAGAGUAGAGAGGAGAAGAGAGGAGAGGACAGAGAGAGAGGAGAGGAGAAGAGGAGAGGAGAGAGGAGAAGAGAGGAGAGGACAGAGAGAAGAGAGAGAAAAGGAGAGGAGAGAGAGAGGAGAGGAGAGAGAAAAGGAGAGGAGAGGACAGAGAAGAGGAGAGAGAGGAGUGGAGAGAGAGGAGAGGAGAAGAGAGGAGAGGACAGAGAGAAGACGAGAGAGAGGAGAGAGAGGAGAGGAGAGGAGAAGAGAAGAGGAGAGGAGAAGAGAGGAGAGGACAGAGAAGAGGAGAGAGAGGAGAAGAGAAGAGAGAGGAGAGGAGAGGACAGAGAGAAGAGAGGAGAGGAGAGAGAGAAGAGGAGAGAGGAGAGGAGAGGACAGAGAGAAGAGAGGAGAGAGAGAAAAGGAGAGGAGAGAGAGAGGAGAGGAGAGGUCAGGGUUAGCGAGAGCUGUGAUACAGGGCACACCACCCUCCCCGUACCCCAGAGACCGCUCCAUAUACUGUAUGUGGGCGUCCAGCCUGACCAGAGUCAUAUUCAGAGCUCAGGGCGAGGCAGGGUGCGCAUUACGCACUGUUUGUUUAUUGCCUUCCCAAUAUUGUCUUUUGCUAUAUUGGAUAUGGACAAAGGCAGCUCUGUGCACACAAACCUCCAGCAAUGAAACGUAGUUGAGAGCGAGGGUGGCCUGACCUUCCUAACGAGCACUUCUGCGGGUGAAUUGAGGCAAUUAUACGAUCCAGCGAAAAUAAAUAAACUGGGUCAGAAUAAAGCAAGCCAAUAUUUAGAGUAAUUGUGCGGUGAGGUACGGCUUCAUUGUGCUGAAUGUGAAUUACAUUUGUGUGUAUUGUAUUUAAUCCAGGGUGAUUUAGAUCUAGUGUUACUCAGGUCAGAGUGUUAACAAACACAGCAUUACGUAUAAUGGUAACGUAUAUUACUGCAGCAUUGUGGGUGGGCUCCAUCAGCUGGGGAAUUGAACCCUAGAGUCCAUCGUACUUCAAUUAAUUACCAAUCUAAGUUUGGUCCCAUUUACUAGACGCCGUAUCUGCAGAUAUGGAAAUAUAACAUUUAUUAAUAAUAUUACUA
rnacentral:lncRNA from 1 species